ensembl:lncRNA
UCUAUCAUUGUCUCUGAUUGGGAACCAUAUUUAGGCAGCCAUAUUCUGUGGGUACUUUGUGGGUGGUUGUCUUCUGUCAUUGCACCACAGGACUGUUUCGGGUUUCACAUUUUUUUUGGUAGUGUUCUCGUGUAUGGUCUUGAUUAAACAUGUUGAACUCUAACCAUGCUGCAUUUUGGUCCUCCUCUCCUUCAGCGGAAGAAAGCCGUUACAAUCAGGUGACAGUGUUCUCUAAGCACAGGUUGAACCAUGAAUAAUGGAUCUGCCAAUGGCCCAGGCCCCCGUGGGACCCACAGCCCUCACUGUGACUGGAAUUAUCAAUGCCCCAUUAACAACCAUUGAUUCAUUGCACCGCCAUCCCCAACAGGAACUGGGAUUAGUUCAUUAGAGUUCCUGACCCUGACCCUGAGCCUACCUGCCAUUUCUGUACCUUGUCACACCACCCUGGAUUAUUGACCUCUGCCUGCCCUGACCCUGAGACUGCCUGCCGUUCUGUACCUUUUGGACUCUGAUCUGUAUUACUGACUUCUGCCUGCACUUGACCUGUCAUUUUGCCUCUCC